ensembl:lncRNA
GGACUCCCGGGCGGUGACGAAGCUCUCGGUGCUGUCCCCAAAUCCGCUGCUGUCCCCAAAUCCGCUGCUGUCCCCAAAUCCAGCGGGGUCCCCAAUUCCAGCGGGGUCCCCAAUUCCAGCGGGGUCCCCAAUUCCAGCGGUGUCCCCAAAUCCAGCGGUGUCCCCAAUUCCAGCGGUGUCCCCAAUUCCAGCGGGGUCCCCAAAUCCAGCGGGGUCCCCAAUUCCAGCGGUGUCCCCAAAUCCAGCGGGGUCCCCAAAUCCGCUGCUGUCCCCAAUUCCAGCGGGGUCCCCACCCCUCGGCUCUGUCACCUGCCCCUUGGGGACAGCCCCUCCCCGUCCCCCGGCGGUGCCACCCGCGAUGUCCCCCGAGCCCUGCGGUGUCACCGAGCAGCUGCGGGGCAGGGGGGACCUCGGGGACCCCGCGCGUGUCCCCAAAACCCCGCCCUGGCGCCGCCUCGGGGACACCCCGGCAGCAGAACGGGGACAGGGGACAGGGGUGUCCCCAAGGCUGGGGUUGGGGGGACCUCGUGUCCUUGUCCCCAAAAUGCGGCUCGGGGGUGGCUCCUGGGGCUGGUCCCGCUCCCAGAGCAGAGUGCUGGAGGCCAGGGGUGGCAGGGGGACAGCGGGGUCCCCUUGGGGACACUCCGGCCACAGCGAGGGGACACCGCUGUCCCCUUGGGGACACUCCGGCCACAGCGAGGGGACACCGCUGUCCCCCGGCUCAUCCAGGAGGGACCUGCGGGUGCUGCUGAGGGGUCCGGCCUCGGGAAUGUCCCCAAGGGCCACCCAGGAGUCGCUGCCAUCCUCGGUCAGGAAGGACAGGGCCCCUCGGGGCCACCGCGGCUCUGGGGACACCUUGGGGACAUCACCCUGAGCGGGGCUCCGGCCCCUGUCCAGCGGCUCCUGCGGGGAGGGGACAGCGCUGUCACCGCUGCCAGGUGGCACCGCCGAGGGGUGGCACAGCCGCACCCGGCGCUGUCCCUGUCCCCAUUUCGGGUGUCACUGUCCCCAUCCCGGGGUGUCCCUGUCCCCGUUUCGGGUGUCCCUGUCCCGGCUGUCCCUGUCCCCAUCCCGGCUGUCCCUGUCCCCAUCCUGGGUGUCACUGUCCCCAUCCCGGGGUGUCACUGUCCCCAUCCCGGGGUGUCCCUGUCCCCAUUUCGGGUGUCACUGUCCCUGUCCCGGCUGUCCCUGUCCCCACCCCGGGGUGUCCCUGUCCCCAUCCCGGCUGUCCCUGUCCUUGUCCCCAUCCCGGGUGUCCCUGUCCCCACCCCGGGGUGUCCCUGUCGCUGUCCCCACCCCGGCUGUCGCUGUCCCUGUCCCCAUCCCGGGGUGUCCCUGUCGCUGUCCCCAUCCCGGCUGUCGCUGUCCCCCAUCCCGGCUGUCGCUGUCCCCACCCCGGUUGUCGCUGUCCCCUCUCACCUGUGCCCGCAGCAGGAUCCCGAGGCAGCGGUGACACCCCCGGGCCGCGUCCAGCGGUGGCAGCUCCCGGGCACAGCUGGGUGGUGGCACCGGGACAGGGUCACCCCCGGGGCCACCCCUGGGGACGCUCGAGUGCCACCGGCACCGCCGGGGGACAUCGCGAGGCCCCGGCCGGGACGCGGGGGUGGGGUCCCCUCCCGUGGGCCACCGGUGUCCCUCCCGGUGCCACCCCCGAUGCCACCCCCGGNNNNNNNNNNNNNNNNNNNNNNNNN